rnacentral:rRNA from 1 species
ACCGAGAGUGGAGCCUGGCUCCGGGGGGCCAACCGCCCCCACCUCUUCACCCAUGUAGAUAUUUCUGCGUUGCUUUGGCGCGCCUCCGGGACCUCCGGGGGCCCCUGUCAAAGACCCAAUCAAUUGCCGUGUAUAAGUGUAAUCGGAGUAGAACCACAAUCGUUAAAACUUUCAACAACGGAUCUCUUGGCUCUGGCAUCGAUGAAGAACGCAGCGAAAUGCGAUAAGUAAUGUGAAUUGCAGAAUUCAGUGAAUCAUCGAAUCUUUGAACGCACCUUGCACCCUUUGGUAUCCCGAAGGGUACACCCGUUUGAGUGUCAUUGUAAUCUCACCUCUUCGACUUUUUGUUGAGUCGACCAGUGUGGACUUGGAUGUUGCCGUGUGACAAACGGCUUGUCUGAAAUGCCUGAGUGUACCCUGCUUUGCGGCGUAUUUGGUGUGAUAAAAUCUUCACCGGAGUCUUGACCCUUGUGGUCAGCGCUUGCAUGGUUUGGCUCUAUGCUUUCCAACUGUCCCUAACAAGGACAAACUACUCUGACAAUUUGACCUCAAAUCGGGUGGGACUACCCGCUGAACUUAA